GUGAAUCAUCAAAUUUUUGAACGCAAAUUGCACUCUCCUCGGAGAGUAUGCCUGUUUGAGGGUCAGCCUAAAAAAAACUCUCCAUCGUUGCUGUUUCGCGGUGGCGUGAGUCGGAAAUUGGGUGAUCUUCAGCCUUUUAGUUUUUAAUCGACUUAAAAUUUUCUUUUGACCCCAUGCACGUUUCUAAUAUUUAUAACUUUACACGUUUAAGGGUGUCGAUUUUUUUACACGUGGCCUGCAUAU
rnacentral:misc_RNA from 1 species